rnacentral:rRNA from 1 species
GUGUCAGCAGCCGCGGUAAGACGGAGGAGGCUAGCGUUGUUCGGAAUUACUGGGCGUAAAGCGUGCGCAGGUUGUGAGUUAAGUCUGAUGUGAAAGCCCGGGGCUCAACCUCGGAUGUGCAUUAGAUACUGGCUCGCUGGAGGUUGGAAGAGGAGAGUGGAAUUCCCAGUGUAGAGGUGAAAUUCGUAGAUAUUGGGAAGAACACCAGUGGCGAAGGCGGCUCUCUGGUCCACACCUGACACUCAUGCACGAAAGCGUGGGGAGCAAACAGGAUUAGAUACCCUGGUAGUCCACGCUGUAAACGAUGUCAACUAGCUGUUGGCCUUAUGAAUGAGGUUAGUGGCGCAGCAAACGCGAUAAGUUGACCGCCUGGGGAGUACGGUCGCAAGAUUAAA